rnacentral:rRNA from 1 species
AUUGAACGCUGGCGGAAUGCUUUACACAUGCAAGUCGAGCGGCAGCACGGGGGCAACCCUGGUGGCGAGCGGCGAACUGGUGAGUAAUACAUCGGAACAUGCCCAGUCGUGGGGGAUAACACUUCGAAAGAAGUGCUAAUACCGCAUACGUCCUGAGGGAGAAAGCGGGGGAUCUUCGGACCUCGCGCGAUUGGAGUGGCCGAUGUCAGAUUAGCUAGUUGGUGGGGUAAAGGCCUACCAAGGCAACGAUCUGUAGCUGGUCUGAGAGGAUGAUCAGCCACACUGGGACUGAGACACGGCCCAGACUCCUACGGGAGGCAGCAGUGGGGAAUUUUGGACAAUGGGGGCAACCCUGAUCCAGCCAUUCCGCGUGAGUGAAGAAGGCCUUCGGGUUGUAAAGCUCUUUCGGCAGGAACGAAACGGCGAGCUCUAACAUAGCUUGCUAAUGACGGUACCUGAAGAAGAAGCACCGGCUAACUACGUGCCAGCCGCCGCUGUAAUAC